rnacentral:rRNA from 1 species
CCCUUAGAUGUUCUGGGCCGCACGCGUGCUACACUGAGUGGAUCAGCGGGUCAGGUUGCGCGAAAGUGUUUCCUAAUCUUUAAAUCCGCUCGUGAUGGGGAUUGACGGUUGCAAUUUUCCGUCAUGAACGAGGAAUACCUUGUAAGCGCGGGUCAUCAUCCCGCGCUGAAUACGUCCCUGGCCUUUGUACACACCGCCCGUCGCUCCUACCGAUUGAGUGGUCCGGUGAGGCUUUGGGAUCUGAGCGGAAAGAGCGUUUCGCUGUUUCUGCCCGGAAAACUCAGUCGAACCUUAUCAUUUAGAGGAAGGAGAAGUCGUAACA